rnacentral:lncRNA from 1 species
CUUGUAUUCAUGACUCAGCCUGUUAGUUAGCUGGGAUCCCUGGUGGACUAGUUUUUGUAUUUUUAGUAGAGGUGGGGUUUCACCAUGUUGGCCAGGCUGGUGUUGACUUCCUGAGGUCAAGUGAUCUUUCUUCUUGGGCCUCCUAAAUUGCUCUGAAUCCAGGCAUGAGUCACUGUGCUGGCGGCACAGAUUCUUUUUUAUGUAAAGCUUGUUAUAAUUCAUCCGUCAGUCCAUUCUCCUCUGUAAAUUUCUCUAAGCAUUUGUUGACCAUCACAUAUAACUAGAUAAAUCAGUAUUACUGCAGUGCUUCUGGAAAAUAGGGCAAUGUUUAAAGAUUUUGGGGGAAAACUUUUAAUUGCACUGACUUAGGUUAGAGGAUAAGUGAUUAAGAUCUAGCAGAUGAGAUUUUGUCCCAUGGAUCUGAAAAGCAGGCUCAUCUACUUCUGGGGUGACCUAAUCUAGGGACCAGUAGAACAUUCCCUUCAGAAUAUCACAUUCUGAAACGGAGAAUAUUUUUCAUCCUUGUGCUAUGACUAGACACUGAUUUGGUCUUGUGUGAAGUGCGAUUUGCUUAAUGUGACCUUCUCUUCUGAAUUUGUUUACAGAAGAUCGGAGACGUCACGAGGAAGAACAGAAAUACAGAGACAGCAAAAAUAAACUUCUUAUGAGUCAAGACUACCCGGGCUGCAGGCUGAAGACGGAAAAAAGUCAAAGUGAUGAUGAGGAAGAGGAAGAAAAAGGGCCAGUGUCCACCAGGAAUCUGCAGGAGUCUGUGGAGGAGGAAGCCCCCCAGGAGUCCUGGGAUGAAGAUUAUUCGACUCUCUCAAUUCCUCCUGGCACAUUUGCCUUCAAUGAGCCUUACAGGACCAACCUGCACUCAUUAGAGGAACAGCAGGUCAACUUGGCUCAUGACAUAGACAGUGAGUACUCUGUUGUGAAAGUGGUAAAGCUCCACUUUGUGUCCCAGAUAGACCCCAUAGUCUUUGUGCAUUGCUCCCCAGGCUGGGCUGAGAGUUGUCAUCACUGUGGGCUGAACCUAUCCAUCAGUGCAGAUUUCAAUCACUCCGGAUUCCAGUCUGAAGCAUGGGCAUGGGGUGGGUCAGUGAGCUUUGCUCUCUCUCUAGUCUCAGUCCAUGCCUGUGGCACCCUGGACCAACUGUCAGGACAUUGGAACCCAAGGCAGGUGUUGCAAACUCACACCAAGCUAUGCAGCACAUGCCCACGAGUUGUCUGUGAAUCUGAAUUAAACGUCUCUUGCCAGCUAACAAGUUCCUCAUGA